CAAGUAACAAGCUACUAAAACUACUAACGUCUGCUAAAUGUUGUGUGAUGCGUCUAGUGUGUUGGUGUUAGUGUGUGUGUGCUUGUCACCUCUCGCUUUCAUCCAUCACCGCUGGCUAGCAGCAAUGUGAAAAGGGAAGGAAUUUUUAUGUCUUCCCCUGCCAGAACAUAGCCUCUCCACAACAAGUCCUAUGCGAUGCCUCCACGUGGAAGCAGACGGAUACUGGGUACCAUUUGGUCCCAGGCUAAGUUCGCAAGGGCGCACGGGAAGAUGAGUCUCAAAAGCAUUGAUAAACAUCUUAUCUAGGAAAGAAAACUGAUCACAACCCCUAUUUAGUAGAAGAAUCAAUUGAUAUAAGUGCUGGUUUUUAAAAGAAGUGAACCUUUGUUCAUUUUAUGUCUUUGUCAUCUUUUUUGUAAAAUUUCCCAUUUUCAUCUUUGUCAAAAUUCAAGGAAACUUGGCAAAGAGUAUCCUUGGAUAAAUGCCAUUAUGGGAUUUAAGUUUAUUCAAAUGAAGGCCCACUCCCUCUUCAAACGGAAGAUUACUACAAAUAAGUGAAAAAUUAAGGACAUCUUUUAAAAAUCUUCUUUUCAAGAACCACUGAGACAGGAAAGAGACUCUUAUGUGGCAUCAUCCUCAGGUAGUGUAGAUUCAAAGUCAAAUUAAGACCCCAUGUUGGGGUCAGAAUAGGGGAUCAAAAAUAUAUAUUACACCGUAGAUUCCUUAUUUUCCGCAUGUAAUUAUUAUCGCGAAUAGGCUUUUCACUCUCAAAUCACGAGAAUUAUAAUUCGAAUGGAUGGUUGGUUAAAAGAUUUUACAUAGAUUUCAGCUCCAUAAAAAUAAAGGCGAGUAAUUUAAUUUUAAGUUUGAUGCCCCUCGAGAAAUUACGCGAUAAUUACUUCCACGCAUAUAUUUAGGAAUCUAUAGUAUGUACCAAGGGAUAUACAUAAUUUUUUUUUUCUCAAGCCACAAUUAGUCAUAAAUGAUAUCAGAUCAUCCUUUUUGGUAGUGAAGAUUUCAUUUUGUUCAAAUCACGUCUACCGGGGACCACAAUGGACAAUCAAAGUUUUACGUUGGAUUAUAUUGGUAAUAUCUUGAGAAAUCUCAGAAACAAAAAUGUCAUGACUGGUAAUAUGUAUACGCUAGCAUCUUCAUGUAGCGUAGAUUUAAGUUUGUUCAAAUCAUGACUCCCGUGUGUAGGGCAGAGCCCCAAUGGUGGAUCAAAAUGGACAGGAGAAUAUAUAGGAAACGUCCUCUCGAUAAUACUAAAGCCAUAUGUAGUCAUAUUGAUAUGGGAGCAUCCUUAGGUAGUGUAGAUUCACAUUUGUCCAAAUCUUGAUUCCAGGGGGCAGGGAGGGGCAUCAAUGGGGAUAAAAUUUUAACAAAGGAAUAUAUAGAAAAAAAAUCUUAUGUUCAAGAACAGCUAAGCCAUUGUUAUAAUAAAUGAUAUGAAAAUGUCUCAAGGUAGUUUUUCAAAAAUUUAUACUUUUCAAUACUGGACUAAUUUGUGCAAAUGCUUAGGUGAGCAUAUCGGCCAUUGGCCACUUGUUUAUUUUAGAAAUCUUCUCACUUGGUAUGAAGUGCCAAUGAUCUCCUUUUGGUGUCUGUUUUUAUCUUUUUAAGCAGAAUAAUGUUAAGGUUGAACAGGAUCCUGAAGUGAGGAAGACUCCCUCUCCCAUUGAACUGCAGACAUCAGCAGAAAGCAGAAUUUCAGUUCCUCUUUUAUUCAGAAGAGGAACAACAAUGGAGGACCAAGGUCAUUAAUAUAAGAGUCUAUUCCUGUCUGUGUUUUGAAGGCAUUGUGUUUCAAAAGUGGUAAGCAACAAGCUGCUUUUUACUGAAGCUUCUCACUUGAUAUGAAGUGAAAGUGUUUCCCCUUUUAUGUCUCUGUUUUAUCUUUUUAAGCAGAAGAAAGUUAAAACUGACUAGGAAUUUUAAGUGAGGAAGAGUCCCUCUCCCAUUCCGCUGCAGCCAUGAGGAGAAUAUUUGUACUCCUUUUUUUUUACCUAAGGAACUUCAUCAGGACCCACUUGAACAAGCAGAAGUCUUACAAUAUUUUAAAGGGAUUUGACAAGGGAAGAAGGAAGAAGACCAGUGCUGACCAAGAGAAGAAGAAGAGUCCAUUGCCAUGCUUUGUCCAGCAGCCAAUAUCUGAUAAUGGAGCAGAAGAUGAGACUGACCUCAACUUGUUAACAAGUCUGGAGAUGAAGGACUAACUACUGUCUAACCUGAAAUCUUUGGUAGGGGUUUAUGCUGGCAUUGAUCCUGUUUCCAAAAACAGCUUGCCAAGUUUCUGUGAGAGUCCAAAGAGAUCAGCUAGAACCUGAAAAUAAAGACUGACUGCCAUCAAUUUUGUUUCUUUGACAGCAGACAAAUAUGCUUCAACAAUAGUGCAGAGAUUAAGGUUUGGGCUGCAAGUGAUGGACACACUAAAGAGCUUAACUCACAGAAUUCAAUGGACUGUGCUGAGUACAUUGUUAUCAGAAAGUGAUGGACACACUAAACAGCUUACCUCACAGAAUUCAAUGGACUGUGUUGAGUACAUUGUUAUCAGAAAGUGAUGGACACACUAAAGAGCUUAACUCACAGAAUUCAAUGGACUGUGCUGAGUACAUUGUUAUCAGAAAGUGGUGGACACACUAAAUAGCUUACCUCACAGAAUUCAACGAACUGUGCCGAGUACAUUGUUAUAAUAAAGUGAUGGACAGUUGGACUCACUAAAUAUCUUAAUUUGUAGGAUUCAGUGCACUGUGCUGAGUAACUCUUAUCAACACAGUGAUGGAAACGCUAAACAGCUUAACUCACAGAAUUUAAUGGAUAUUGCUUGAGUAUGUUGUUAUUACAAAAUGAUGGACACAGUAAAUAGCUUGAUUCCAGAAUUCAGUGGACCGUGCUGAGUACAUAACUCAUAAAGGAUAACUCCUGACAUAUUCACAGCAGAUCACUCAAAGUUAACUCUGUUAAAUUUGUAAUAAGGCAUUUGGAGAAAGCUCAGA